CCCUUAGAUGUUCGGGGCCGCACGCGCGCUACACUGAAGGAAUCAGCACGUCUUUCUCCUUGUCCGAAAGGACUGGGUAACCCGCUGAACCUCCUUCGUGCUAGGGAUUGGGGCUUGUAAUUCUUCCUCAUGAACGAGGAAUUCCCAGUAAGCGCGAGUCAUAAGCUCGCGUUGAUUACGUCCCUGCCCUUUGUACACACCGCCCGUCGCUACUACCGAUUGGAUGGUUUAGUGAGAUCCUCGGAUUGGUCCCGGAGCGGCCUCUGGUCGUGCCGGAGUGCCGAAAAGAAUGUCGAACUUGAUCAUCUAGAGGAAGUAAAAGUCGUAACA
rnacentral:rRNA from 1 species